rnacentral:rRNA from 1 species
GACGAACGCUGGCGGCGUGCUUAACACAUGCAAGUCGAACGGUAAGGCUCCAGCUUGCUGGGGUACACGAGUGGCGAACGGGUGAGUAACACGUGGGUGACCUGCCCUGCACUUCGGGAUAAGCCUGGGAAACUGGGUCUAAUACCGGAUAGGACCAUGGUGUGGAUACUGUGGUGGAAAGUUUUUUCGGUGUGGGAUGGGCCCGCGGCCUAUCAGCUUGUUGGUGGGGUAAUGGCCUACCAAGGCGGCGACGGGUAGCCGGCCUGAGAGGGUGGACGGCCACAUUGGGACUGAGACACGGCCCAGACUCCUACGGGAGGCAGAAGUGGGGAAUAUUGCACAAUGGGCGGAAGCCUGAUGCAGCGACGCCGCGUGGGGGAUGACGGCCUUCGGUUUGUAAACUCCUUUCACCAUCGACGAAGGGUUUCUGACGGUAGAUGGAGAAGAAGCACCGGCUAACUACGUG